rnacentral:rRNA from 1 species
GUAGGUGGCAAGCGUUGUCCGGAAUUAUUGGGCGUAAAGCGCGCGCAGGUGGUUUCUUAAGUCUGAUGUGAAAGCCCACGGCUCAACCGUGGAGGGUCAUUGGAAACUGGGGAACUUGAGUGCAGAAGAGGAAAGUGGAAUUCCAAGUGUAGCGGUGAAAUGCGUAGAGAUUUGGAGGAACACCAGUGGCGAAGGCGACUUUCUGGUCUGUAACUGACACUGAGGCGCGAAAGCGUGGGGAGCAAACAGGGAUUAGAUACCCUGGUAGUCCACGCCGUAAACGAUGAGUGCUAAGUGUUAGAGGGUUUCCGCCCCUUUAGUGCCGCAGCUAACGCAUUAAGCACUCCGCCUGGGGAGUACGGUCGCAAGACUG